AGAUUGUGGCUCAUUACAGCCUAGAGGGGCUUUGGAGCAAAUCCGAUACAAUUUUAUUGAGCAAAUACUGGUCCUUAUAUGCUAGUUCCUGCUUUUCUUGAAGAUAGAAAUGUGGUCCAAACUAAAACUGAACAGCAUCAUAACCAGGAAUGAGGCAAGGAUGCCCGGAGGCAUGGUACAUUGAGGAAAUCGAGCAAAGGCUACGACAAUGGAUGAAUGGGCACCGCACAACCCAGUUAGGGAACACUUCAGUGGUCCAGGACAUUCAGCCUCUGACCUUCGGGUGACCAUCCUCCAAGGUGGACUUCGGGACAGGCAGCAGAGGAAAGUUGCCGAGCAGAGGCUGAUAGCUAAGUUCGGUACCCAUAGGGAGGGCCUCAACUGGGACCUUGGGUUCAUGUCACAUUACGGAUGAUCACCAUUGCACUACACACACACACUCUCACAUACACACGGACACAGGUACACACAGACGCGCACACAGACACCCACACACACCCUUAUAGACAUACACACUCCCACACUCACACAGGCACCCCUUCACAGACUUAAGACACUCUGAACUCACUACACACACUCACACACUCUCACAUUCACACACUCUCAACCUCCACCCCAGACAGACAGACACACACACAGACAGACAAAGACCCACAUGCACACAUAUAUUUUGUGGGGUGAAUUUGUACUUGCAGAGUUACAUUGCACUUUGCUGAAAAACUGCAUACAUUCAUGUAGAACUCUGAGCUCAAAAACUACAUGAAUUUAUGUAAAACUCUGUUAUCUCACAUUUUAGAUUAGAAUCAAUGUAAACAUCAGGUCAUAGACAGAGAACACAGGGGGCUAACACCUUCAACAUAUUGUCUAGCUAUCACCAUUGUUAACAGCUAACCCGAGAAUGCAACUUUUAAUAAAAGGUUUUGUGAUGUACACAUGAAAGAAGUGAAACUAUCACUGUAUUCUAACAGAUACAGACUUAACAGACAAUCAAUUUUUCAAUGUAUAAUUUCAGUUACAUCACACUGCAAAUUUUUGUUGUAAAUUCUGUGUUAUGAUCGAGCCCUCCACUAUCACCUGAUGAAGGAGCGUCGCUCCGAAAGCUAGU